GAUUGAACGCUGGCGGCAGGCUUAACACAUGCAAGUCGAGCGGUAACAGGGAGAAGCUUGCUUCUCUGCUGACGAGCGGCGGACGGGUGAGUAAUGCCUAGGAAUCUGCCUAGUAGUGGGGGAUAACUUGCCGAAAGGUAAGCUAAUACCGCAUACGUCCUACGGGAGAAAGGAGGGGACCUUCGGGCCUUUCGCUAUUAGAUGAGCCUAGGUCGGAUUAGUUAGUUGGUGAGGUAAUGGCUCACCAAGACCGCGAUCCGUAACUGGUCUGAGAGGAUGAUCAGUCACACUGGAACUGAGACACGGUCCAAACUCCUACGGGAGGCAGCAGUGGGGAAUAUUGGACAAUGGGGGAAACCCUGAUCCAGCCAUGCCGCGUGUGUGAAGAAGGUCUUAGGAUUGUAAAGCACUUUAAGUUGGGAGGAAGGGCAGUUAACUAAUAUUUGACUGUUUUGACGUUACCGACAGAAUAAGCACCGGCUAACUUCGUGCCAGCAGCCGCGGUAAUACAGAGGUCUCGAGCGUUGUUCGGAUUUACUGGGCGUAAAGGGAGCGUAGGCGGUUCGGUAUGUCGAAUGUGAAAGCCCACAACUCAACUGUGGAAAUGCAUUCGAAACUGCCGGGCUAGAGUACUGGAGAGGAGAGCGGAAUUCUUGGUGUAGCGGUGAAAUGCGUAGAUAUCAAGAGGAACACCGGUGGCGAAGGCGGCUCUCUGGACAGAUACUGACGCUGAGGCUCUAAAGUUAGGGGAGCAAACAGGAUUAGAUACCCUGGUAGUCCUAACCUUAAACGGUGUACACUUGGUGUGCGAGGAAUUGUCCCUUUGCGCGCCGCAGCUAACGCGAUAAGUGUACCGCCUGGGGAGUACGGUCGCAAGAUUAAAACUCAAAGGAAUUGACGGGGACCCGCACAAGCGGUGGAGCAUGUGGCUUAAUUCGAUGCAACGCGAAGAACCUUACCUGGACUUGACAUGCCAGUGGUAGAACCCUGAAAGGGGGACGACCGUAGCAAUACGGAGCUGGCACAGGUGCUGCAUGCCUGUCGUCAGCUCGUGCCGUGAGGUGUUGGGUUAAGUCCCGCAACGAGCGCAACCCCUGUGGUUAGUUGCCCUUAUUCAGUUAGGCACUCUAGCCAGACUGCCUGUGAUAAGCAGGAGGAAGGUGGGGAUGACGUCAAGUCAGUAUGGUCCUUAUGUCCAGGGCUGCACACGUGCUACAAUGACCAGCACAGAAGGAAGCAAUACCGCGAGGUGGAGCUAAUCCCCAAAACUGGUCUCAGUUCGGAUUGGAGUCUGCAACCCGACUCCAUGAAGCUGGAAUCGCUAGUAACGGCGCAUCAGCUACGGCGCCGUGAAUACGUUCCCGGGUCU
rnacentral:rRNA from 1 species